rnacentral:lncRNA from 14 species
UGCUGUAGCCCUAGCCACGGUCGAGGCAAGGGCCUGCCGCCUCUGGAAACGGUUUCCCCUGGGGAGCGCAAAGGCUCUGUGCUCCUCCAGCUAAAACAAAAGCAAACAUAGGAGCCAUCACCAUCCCGGUUUUGCAGACACAGUACACUUCUUUGUUUGGGCCAUUUAGAGCUACAUGAUGAAUUCCACCACUCCCAGGUUUAAGCUAUGCCAUAGGCAAAAGGAAACCUGGAAACUGUGGGACUGGCAGGGCUCAAUGAACAACCUAAUCUGGAUUUCAUUCACAAACAGCAGCUCAUACACAGAGAAAGGGCUGGUGUGUUUCACCAAAUCGGAACUGGAGCUGAUUUUGAUCACUGUUCCUGCCUUCUGAAGUGUCAUAGAUCUCCCACGAUCUGUUAGAAGCUAGAGGAAGAAGGCAAGUCCUUAAAAUUGUGCUACUGACAUGAAGAAAGCCUGGGGAUGAGCUCUUUCAUCUGAUGGUUCCCCCUGCCCAGAUCCAAG